GGAGUUGUGGCUAAGUGGUAGAGUGCUCAUUUAGCACAUGUGAGGCCCUGGGUUUGAUCCACAGCACCA
rnacentral:tRNA from 1 species